GUUUAAUUAGUUUAUUUAAAAUAAUAAUUUGUGGAAUUAUAGAAGAAAGGUUUUAAAUCAUUAAACA
rnacentral:tRNA from 2 species